UACGUAGGGUGCAAGCGUUGUCCGGAAUUAUUGGGCGUAAAGAGCUCGUAGGCGGUUUGUUGCGUCGGCUGUGAAAUCCCGAGGCUCAACCUCGGGUCUGCAGUCGAUACGAGCAAACUAGAGUGUUGCAGGGGAGACUGGAAUUCCUGGUGUAGCGGUGAGAUGCGCAGAUAUCAGGAGGAACACCGGUGGCGAAGGCGGGUCUCUGGGCAACAACUGACGUGGAGGAGCGAAAGCCGUGGGGAGCGAACAGG
rnacentral:rRNA from 1 species